ACCUACGGGAGGCAGCAGUAGGGAAUCUUCCACAAUGGGCGAAAGCCUGAUGGAGCAACGCCGCGUGGGUGAAGAAGGUCUUCGGAUCGUAAAACCCUGUUGUUAGAGAAGAAAGUGCGUGAGAGUAACUGUUCACGUUUCGACGGUAUCUAACCAGAAAGCCACGGCUAACUACGUGCCAGCAGCCGCGGUAAUACGUAAGUGGCAAGCGUUAUCCGGAUUUAUUGGGCGUAAAGGGAACGCAGGCGGUCUUUUAAGUCUGAUGUGAAAGCCUUCGGCUUAACCGGAGUAUUGCAUUGGAAACU
rnacentral:rRNA from 1 species